UUUACAGGGAGAAAUGAGUAGAGUUGGGGUAGAAUUAAUGGAGAUUGAAAGAGAAGUAACGGAAGAAAUGAGAGAUGGUGAUGAUGAAGUGAAGAGAAUUCCUCCGUGGACUAAACAGAUUACAGUACGAGGAAUUGUUGCGAGUGUUUUGAUUGGAGUUAUUUAUAGUGUGAUUGUAACGAAGCUUAAUCUCACUACUGGACUUGUACCAAAUCUCAAUGUUUCAGCUGCUCUGCUUGCUUAUGUGAUUCUACAGUCAUGGACUAAGGUUCUAAAAAAGGCG
rnacentral:misc_RNA from 1 species